CCUACGGGUGGCAGCAGUGGGGAAUAUUGGGCAAUGGGCGCAAGCCUGACCCAGCAACGCCGCGUGAAGGAAGAAGGCUUUCGGGUUGUAAACUUCUUUUCUCAGGGACGAAGCAAGCGACGGUACCUGAGGAAUAAGCCACGGCUAACUACGGGCCAGCAGCCGCGGUAAUACGUAGGCGGCAAACGUUCUCCGGAUUUACUGGGUGUAAAGGGUGUGUAGGCGGGGACGCAAGUCAGAUGUGAAAACCAUGGGCUCAAACUGUGGCCUGCAUUUGAAACUGUGUUCCUUGAGUACUGGAGAGGCAGACGGAAUUCCUAGUGUAGCGGUGAAAUGCGUAGAUAUUAGGAGGAACACCAGUGGCGAAGGCAGUCUGCUGGACAGCGACUGACGCUGAGGCGCGAAAGCGUGGGGAGCAAACAGGAUUAGAUACCCGAGUAGUC
rnacentral:rRNA from 1 species